AUGGGGUGACUGCGUACCUUUUGUAUAAUGGGUCAGCGACUUAUAUUCUGUAGCAAGGUUAACCGUAUAGGGGAGCCGUAGGGAAACCGAGUCUUAACUGGGCGAAUGAGUUGCAGGGUAUAGACCCGAAACCCGGUGAUCUAUCCAUGGGCAGGUUGAAGGUUGGGUAACACUAACUGGAGGACCGAACCGACUAAUGUUGAAAAAUUAGCGGAUGACUUGUGGAUGGGGGUGAAAGGCCAAUCAAACCGGGAGAUAGCUGGUUCUCCCCGAAAGCUAUUUAGGUAGCGCCUCGUGAACUCAUCUUCGGGGGUAGAGCACUGUUUCGACUAGGGGGUCAUCCCGACUUACCAACUCGAUGCAAACUGCGAAUACCGAAGAAUGUUAUCACGGGAGACACACGGCGGGUGCUAACGUCCGUCGUGAAGAGGGAAACAACCCAGACCGCCAGCUAAGGUCCCAAAGUCAUGGUUAAGUGGGAAACGAAGUGGGAAGGCUCAGACAGCCAGGAUGUUGGCUUAGAAGCAGCCAUCAUUUAAAGAAAGCGUAAUAGCUCACUGGUCGAGUCGGCCCGCGCGGAAGAUGUAACGGGGCUAAACCAUGCACCGAAGCUGCGGCAGCGACACA
rnacentral:rRNA from 1 species